rnacentral:rRNA from 1 species
UGCGGAAGGGAUAAGUGCUGAAAGCAUCUAAGCAUGAAGCCCCCCUCAAGAUGAGAUUUCCCAUAGCGUAAGCUAGUAAGAUCCCUGAAAGAUGAUCAGGUUGAUAGGUUCGAGGUGGAAGCAUGGUGACAUGUGGAGCUGACGAAUACUAAUAGAUCGAGGACUUAACCAU